rnacentral:rRNA from 1 species
UACGUAGGGGGCUAGCGUUGUCCGGAAUCAUUGGGCGUAAAGAGCGUGUAGGCGGCCCGGUAAGUCCGCUGUGAAAGUCGGGGGCUCAACCCUCGAAUGCCGGUGGAUACUGUCGGGCUAGAGUGCGGAAGAGGCGAGUGGAAUUCCUGGUGUAGCGGUGAAAUGCGCAGAUAUCAGGAGGAACACCGAUUGCGAGGGCAGCUCGCUGGGACGUAACUGACGCUGAGACGCGAAAGCGUGGGGAGCAAACAGG